rnacentral:lncRNA from 1 species
CGGAGUCCUGGAACAAGACUGGAGCUAGGGGGUUGGGGGGGGGGGGGUCAGCCUCAGAAUGGCAUUUUAUUUAUUUAUUUAUGUAUUUAUCAAAGGAAUGGGCCAAAGUUCUAGGUUCUGUUUCUAGGUGCUGUAAUGAAAACCCUAGGAGACUGUCAGAAAAGCUGAAGCCUGUUUGGAAUUAUGAUUGAGAUUAGGUAACCUAUAGCUGUCAAUGGAGACACAGAACUGUAGCUUUCCCCUCCCCUCCCCUCCCCUCCCCCAAACUGGCCUUGAGACCAUAACUGGAAGCAAGUACCUCAAGGAGACCUAGUACUCAUGGUCCAGGACUUAGGAUAGGACUAGACGAGCCAUCAGAAUGACUCUUCCUGUGCCCACGGCGGGCACAUCACCAAGCCUUCUGGGAC